UGGGGAAUCUUGCGCAAUGGCCGAAAGGCUGACGCAGCGACGCCGCGUGGAGGAUGACGCCCUUCGGGGUGUAAACUCCUGUUGCCCGGGACGAAUACCUGUUUCGACAGGGGUGACGGUACCGGGUGAGGAAGCACCGGCUAACUCUGUGCCAGCAGCCGCGGUAAUACAGAGGGUGCGAGCGUUGUCCGGAAUCACUGGGCGUAAAGGGCGCGUAGGUGGCGCGGUAAGCGUGUGGUGAAAGUCCGGGGCUCAACCCCGGAUCGGCCAUGCGAACUGCCGCGCUGGAGCACGGUAGAGGCACAUGGAAUUCCGGGUGUAGCGGUGGAAUGCGUAGAGAUCCGGAAGAACACCGGUGGCGAAGGCGGUGUGCUGGGCCGUUGCUGACACUGAGGCGCGACAGCGUGGGGAGCAAACAGG
rnacentral:rRNA from 1 species